rnacentral:rRNA from 1 species
GACGAACCGUGCGAACGUUAUUCGGAAUCACUGGGCUUAAAGCGCGUGUAGGCGGGGCGGCACGUCGGUCGCUGAAAGCCCCCGGCUCAACCGGGGAAGUGGCGCCGAUACGACCGCCCUGGAGGGACGUAGGGGGACCUGGAACUUCCGGUGGAGCGGUGAAAUGCGUAGAUAUCUGGAGGAACACCGGUGGCGAAGGCGGCAUCCUGGACCGGCAUUGACGCUGAGGCGCGAAAGCUAGGGGAGCAAACGGG